rfam:Ipomoea nil DNA, scaffold: scaffold0418, cultivar: Tokyo-kokei standard.
UUGGAAAUGAUGUUUAUUUCCCCAGAUGAUCGAAGCUGAAAUAUCUGUGCGCUUUUUUUGUUUUUCUCCUCAAGGAGAAAUUCCAAGCCAGAUUUUCUGAUCCUU